UCCAAUAGUGGGCGAGCGUCAACCAAUCAGAGGUGAUUGCUAUCGUGACAUUGUAACUGUCAUUCUUAUCCACCAUUUCAUUGAUUUCAAACAAGU